UGGCCCCUUGGUCAAGCGGUUAAGACACCGCCCUUUCACGGCGGUAACACGGGUUCGAAUCCCGUAGGGGUCAU
rnacentral:tRNA from 30 species